rnacentral:tRNA from 1 species
UUUAAUAUGGCAGAAUAAGUGCAAUGAAUUUAAAUCUCAUAAAUAAAGAUUUUCUUUUAUUAAAA